rnacentral:rRNA from 1 species
CCUACGGGAGGCAGCAGUGAGGAAUAUUGGUCAAUGGACGAGAGUCUGAACCAGCCAAGUAGCGUGAAGGAUGACUGCCCUAUGGGUUGUAAACUUCUUUUAUAUGGGAAUAAAAUGUUCCACGUGUGGGAUUUUGUCUGUACCAUAUGAAUAAGGAUCGGCUAACUCCGUGCCAGCAGCCGCGGUACUACGGAGGAUCCGAGCGUUAUCCGGAUUUAUUGGGUUUAAAGGGAGCGUAGGUGGAUUGAUAAGUCAGUUGUGAAAGUUUGCGGCUCAACCGGAGAAUUGCAGUUGAAACUGGCAGUCUUGAGUGCAGAAGAGGUGGGCGGAAUGCGUGGUGUAGCGGUGAAAUGCUUAGAUAUCACGAAGAACUCCGAUUGCGAAGGCAGUUCACUGGACUGCAACUGACACUGAGGCUCGAAAGUGUGGGUAGCAAACAGGAUUAGAUACCCCUGUAGUC